GAGGGCAAAGCUCAAGAGGCAGAGCAUGUGCUUAACAUGCACGAGGUCCUGGGUUCCAACCCUAGUACCUCCU
rnacentral:tRNA from 1 species